UACGUAGGGGGCGAGCGUUGUCCGGAAUUACUGGGCGUAAAGAGAGCGUAGGCGGCACUACAAGUCUCAUGUGAAAUACCCGGGCUUAACUUGGGGGUUGCAUGGGAAACUGUAGAGCUUGAGUACAGGAGAGGCAAGCGGAAUUCCUAGUGUAGCGGUGAAAUGCAUAGAUAUUAGGAGGAACACCAGUGGCGAAGGCGGCUUGCUGGACUGAGACUGACGCUGAGGCUCGAAAGCGUGGGGAGCAAACAGG
rnacentral:rRNA from 1 species